AUGAAAUGGAAACCCCAAAAAAACCCCAAACCGCCCCAAAACGCAACAAAAAACCCCAAAACCUCCCGAAAAAAACCCCAAAAAUCGCCCCAAAAAUUCCCCCCCUCCCCGCCCCCCCCCACCCCUUUUGUCGCGCUCCCACCCGGAAGCGCUUUGGCCCCGCCCCUUUGUUCCCCGCGCCCCCAGCCAAUCAGCGCUGGGCCCUCCCCGGAAGCCCCGCCCCCUCUGGCGGAAGCCCCGCCCCCCGGCCGGUCCUGGCGCCGCCGCCGCUCCCAGGUGAGGAUCGGGGACCCCUCCCCACCCCCAAAAAUCGACCCCGAGCCCUUCCCCCCACCCCGAGACCCUUCCCCCCACCCCCAGGCCCCUCCCCCAACCCCCCCAUUAAAAAAUUUGGGGAAAAAACGGGAAAAAAAAAAGAGAAAAAAAUGGGGGAAAAAAAGGGGAUUUUGGUCGCCCCUCCCCCACCCGGAAUGGAGAAAAUUCGCCCCCCAAAAAAAAAAAAAUUUGGGAUGCGGGGCCCCUCCCCACCCCAAAAAUUUGGGGAAAAAACGGAACAAAAAUGAAAGGGGAAAAACGGGGAAAAAAAUGGGGAAAAAAUGGGGAAAAAAUGGGGAAUUCCCGCCCCUCCCCCACCCCCAAAAUGAAGCCGGGGGAGUCCCCGAGCCCCUCCCCCAACCCCGAGGCCCCUCCCCCAAUCCCCCCACCCCCAAAAACAAAAUUUGGGGAAAAAAAGAGAAAAAAUGGGGAAAAAAAGGGGAAAAAAAGGGGAAAAAAGGGGAUUUUGGUCGCCCCUCCCCCCACCCGGAAUGGAGAAAAUUUUCCACCCCAAAAAAAUUUGGGAUGCGGGGCCCCUCCCCCACCCCCCCAAAAAAAUCCCCAAAAAUAAAAAGAGAAAUGGCCAAAAAUUCCCCCAAAAAUUCAAAAAAAAAGGAAUUUCCCGCCCCUCCCCCACCCCUAAAAACUCCCAAAAUUCCCCCAAAAAUUCCCCCAAAAUUUGGGAUUCCAGCCCCUCCCCCACCCCCCCAAAAAAUCUCCCCAAAAAUCCCCGAAAAAAUGAAACAAGAAAAGGCCAAAAAAAUCCCCCAAAAAUUAAAAAAAAAAAAGGGAAUUUCCCGCCCCUCCCCCCACCCUGAAAUUCCCCAAAAUUCCCCCAAAAUUUGGGAUUCCGGCCCCUCCCCCACCCGCUCCAAAAACUGCCCAAAAAACCGAAAAGAAAAUUAA
rnacentral:lncRNA from 14 species